rnacentral:rRNA from 1 species
GACGAACGCUGGCGGCGUGCUUAACACAUGCAAGUCGAACGAAGUGGCGAACGGGUGAGUAACGCGUAAUCAACCUGCCCUUCAGAGGGGGACACCACUUGGAAACGACUGCUAAUACGCAAUACUGAAUGAGGGGAUUGCGUGGGAUUGGCUAGUUUGAGGGGUAACGGCCAACCCAGGCGAUGAUCAGUAAGCGGUCUGGGAGGGUGGACGGCCAACUUGGGACUGAGACACGGCCCAGACGCCUUAGGGGGGCAGCAGUGGGGAAACUUCCGCAAUGGAGGAAAGGCUGACGGAGCAACGCCGCGUGAGUGAUGACGGCCUUCGGGUUGUAAAGCUCUGUUAAUCGGGACGCGGUACCGGAAUAGAAAGCCACGGCUAACUACGUGCCAGCAGCCGCGGUAAUUC